GAGACGAACAGCUGAGCCAAGCCAGCACCACCAACUGUCCGGCUCCGCAGCGCGCGUGCGCAGGAGGGCUCGGUGUGGACAGUGAGGCUGGUCUCGAACUCCACGGCAUAAGUGAUCCGCCCGCCUGCGCCUACCAGAGUGCUGGGAUCACAGGCCUGAGCCCACGCCCAGCCCCUUAUGGGAAUUUCAUUUCAGACUGACAAGACUUCAAGAGUGUCACUCUUAGGUCAUCUCGUCUUAAGGAUGAGAAUACACAGGUCCCCAGGGAGUAAGUGGUUGAUUCAAGAUCCCACAAGUAGUGAGAGAUGAUAAUUCAAAGGGGCAGAGGAUGUGAAGGAGAAAAAGCUCUUCUGUAGAGGAGAAGACCAACUAAUAAAGGACGAAACAAUCAGGCAAAUCCAAACUGAGAGACCUGCAAGACAACUGCCCAGUCUUCAAAAAUGUCAGUUUCGUGAAAGAUUAGGAAAAAGGCUAGUGAACUGCUCUAGGUUAAAGGAAGCAAAAGAUAUGACACUAAAAGCAACGUGUGAUCCUAAAUUAGACCCUGAAUAAAAACCAAACAAACAAAACCAGCUACUGAGGAACGUUAUUGGGACAAUCGGGGAAAUUUGAAUGGAGAGUAGAUUAGUAUGGCAACAAUGUAAAAUUUU